GCGGCUCAGUGGCAAAGCAUCUGCUUGACAUGCAAAAAGUUUUAGGUUCGAUCCCUGACAUAUCUA
rnacentral:tRNA from 1 species